AUUGAACGCUGGCGGCAUGCUUUACACAUGCAAGUCGAACGGUAACAGGUUAAGCUGACGAGUGGCGAACGGGUGAGUAAUGCAUCGGAACGUGCCCGAUCGUGGGGGAUAACGCAGCGAAAGCUGCGCUAAUACCGCAUACGAUCUGAGGAUGAAAGCGGGGGACCGUAAGGCCUCGCGCGAUCGGAGCGGCCGAUGUCAGAUUAGGUAGUUGGUGGGGUAAAGGCUCACCAAGCCGACGAUCUGUAGCUGGUCUGAGAGGACGACCAGCCACACUGGGACUGAGACACGGCCCAGACUCCUACGGGAGGCAGCAGUGGGGAAUUUUGGACAAUGGGCGCAAGCCUGAUCUAGCAAUGCCGCGUGCAGGAAGAAGGCCUUCGGGUUGUAAACUGCUUUUGUACGGAGCGAAAAGGCUCUCUCUAAUACAGGGGGCUCAUGACGGUACCGUAAGAAUAAGCACCGGCUAACUACGUGCCAGCAGCCGCCGCGG
rnacentral:rRNA from 1 species